UUCGACGGGAUGAUCUUGCUGACCGGCAACAAGGGAGAUCUGUGGAAUGUGUGACACGGUGCUGCUGGGCUCUUCUGGGUGAGGAGGUUGGCCUGACUUGGGAUAGGAAAAAGGAAUCAGCAAAGAUGAAGGAUGUGAACAUCACUAAUCAGGCAAUGCAUUUCCCAGGCAGGCCUGCAGGUGACAGACCACGAUUCCUCGAUGUCUUCCAGAGUGCGUGCAAGUGGGGGAGGGGCAGAGACAGCCAGAAAGGAGACAGACUCUGAAGCAGGCCCAGAGCAGUCAGCCCAACGCCGGACGCAGGCCCGAACCCACGAACUGUGAGAUCAUGACCUGAGCCGAAGUCGGAAGGUCAACCAACUGAGUCACCCAUGUGCCCCACUCAAGAUAUUUUUGAGAACUCCCUAACUUCAACUGAUGCUGUCAUGUACAGAAUUCUAAGACUAUAUUUCUCAGGUUUCUUUGCUACUACUACGUAUGGUUACAGGACUCAGUUCUGGC